rnacentral:rRNA from 1 species
AUCAAAUCGUACCCCAAACCGACACAGGUGGUCAGGUAGAGAAUACCAAGGCGCUUGAGAGAACUCGGGUGAAGGAACUAGGCAAAAUGGUGCCGUAACUUCGGGAGAAGGCACGCUGAUAUGUAGGUGAAGCGACUUGCUCGUGGAGCUGAAAUCAGUCGAAGAUACCAGCCGGCUGCAACUGUUUAUUAAAAACACAGCACUGUGCAAACACGAAAGUGGACGUAUACGGUGUGACGCCUGCCCGGUGCCGGAAGGUUAAUUGAUGGGGUUAGCGCAAGCGAAGCUCUUGAUCGAAGCCCCGGUAAACGGCGGCCGUAACUAUAACGGUCCUAAGGUAGCGAAAUUCCUUGUCGGGUAAGUUCCGACCUGCACGAAUGGCGUAAUGAUGGCCAGGCUGUCUCCACCCGAGACUCAGUGAAAUUGAACUCGCUGUGAAGAUGCAGUGUACCCGCGGCAAGACGGAAAGACCCCGUGAACCUUUACUAUAGCUUGACACUGAACAUUGAGCCUUGAUGUGUAGGAUAGGUGGGAGGCUUUGAAGUGUGGACGCCAGUCUGCAUGGAGCCGACCUUGAAAUACCACCCUUUAAUGUUUGAUGUUCUAACGUGGACCCGUAAUCCGGGUUGCGGACAGUGUCUGGUGGGUAGUUUGACUGGGGCGGUCUCCUCCUAAAGAGUAACGGAGGAGCACGAAGGUUGGCUAAUCCUGGUCGGACAUCAGGAGGUUAGUGCAAUGGCAUAAGCCAGCUUGACUGCGAGCGUGACGGCGCGAGCAGGUGCGAAAGCAGGUCAUAGUGAUCCGGUGGUUCUGAAUGGAAGGGCCAUCGCUCAACGGAUAAAAGGUACUCCGGGGAUAACAGGCUGAUACCGCCCAAGAGUUCAUAUCGACGGCGGUGUUUGGCACCUCGAUGUCGGCUCAUCACAUCCUGGGGCUGAAGUAGGUCCCAAGGGUAUGGCUGUUCGCCAUUUAAAGUGGUACGCGAGCUGGGUUUAGAACGUCGUGAGACAGUUCGGUCCCUAUCUGCCGUGGGCGCUGGAGAACUGAGGGGGGCUGCUCCUAGUACGAGAGGACCGGAGUGGACGCAUCACUGGUGUUCGGGUUGUCAUGCCAAUGGCACUGCCCGGUAGCUAAAUGCGGAAGAGAUAAGUGCUGAAAGCAUCUAAGCACGAAACUUGCCCCGAGAUGAGUUCUCCCUGACUCCUUGAGAGUCCUGAAGGAACGUUGAAGACGACGACGUUGAUAGGCCGGGUGUGUAAGCGCAGCGAUGCGUUGAGCUAACCGGUACUAAUGAACCGUGAGG